AUGAACGCUGGCGGCGUGCCUCAUACAUGCCAGUCGAGCGCACGGACGAGAAGCUUGCUUCUCUGAUGUUAGCGGCGGACGGGUGAGUAACACGUGGAUAACCUACCUAUAAGACUGGGAUAACUUCGGGAAACCGGGGCUAAUACCGGAUAAUAUUUUGAACCGCAUGGUUCAAAAGUGAAAGACGGUCUUGCUGUCACUUAUAGAUGGAUCCGCGCUGCAUUAGCUAGUUGGUAAGGUAACGGCUUACCAAGGCAACGAUGCAUAGCCGACCUGAGAGGGUGAUCGGCCACACUGGAACUGAGACACGGUCCAGACUCCUACGGGAGGCAGCAGUAGGGAAUCUUCCGCAAUGGGCGAAAGCCUGACGGAGCAACGCCGCGUGAGUGAUGAAGGUCUUCGGAUCGUAAAACUCUGUUAUUAGGGAAGAACAUAUGUGUAAGUAACUGUGCACAUCUUGACGGUACCUAAUCAGAAAGCCACGGCUAACUACGUG
rnacentral:rRNA from 1 species